rnacentral:rRNA from 1 species
AUAGGCGAAAGCUUGACAGGGUUACUCUGAGUGAUGUCCGCUAAGGGCAUCUUUUGGCACUUCUAAAAAUAGUGUAGAAUAAGGGGUGGGCAAGUCUGGUGUCAGCCGCCGCGGUAAUACCAGCACCCCGAGUGGUCGGGACGAUUAUUGGGCCUAAAGCAUCCGUAGCCGGUUCUGCAAGUCUUCCGUUAAAUCCACCUGCUCAACAGAUGGGCUGCGGAGGAUACUACAGGGCUAGGAGGCGGGAGAGGCAAGCGGUACUCAGUGGGUAGGGGUAAAAUCCUCUGAUCCACUGAAGACCACCAGUGGCGAAGGCGGCUUGCCAGAACGCGCUCGACGGUGAGGGAUGAAAGCUGGGGGAGCAAACCGGAUUAGAUACCCGCGUAGUCC